GGUUAAGCGACUAAGCGUACACGGUGGAUGCCCUGGCAGUCAGAGGCGAUGAAGGACGUGCUAAUCUGCGAUAAGCGUCGGUAAGGUGAUAUGAACCGUUAUAACCGGCGAUUUCCGAAUGGGGAAACCCAGUGUGUUUCGACACACUAUCAUUAACUGAAUCCAUAGGUUAAUGAGGCGAACCGGGGGAACUGAAACAUCUAAGUACCCCGAGGAAAAGAAAUCAACCGAGAUUCCCCCAGUAGCGGCGAGCGAACGGGGAGCAGCCCAGAGCCUGAAUCAGUGUGUGUGUUAGUGGAAGCGUCUGGAAAGGCGCGCGAUACAGGGUGACAGCCCCGUACACAAAAAUGCACAUGCUGUGAGCUCGAUGAGUAGGGCGGGACACGUGGUAUCCUGUCUGAAUAUGGGGGGACCAUCCUCCAAGGCUAAAUACUCCUGACUGACCGAUAGUGAACCAGUACCGUGAGGGAAAGGCGAAAAGAACCCCGGCGAGGGGAGUGAAAAAGAACCUGAAACCGUGUACGUACAAGCAGUGGGAGCACGCUUAGGCGUGUGACUGCGUACCUUUUGUAUAAUGGGUCAGCGACUUAUAUUCUGUAGCAAGGUUAACCGAAUAGGGGAGCCGAAGGGAAACCGAGUCUUAACUGGGCGUUAAGUUGCAGGGUAUAGACCCGAAACCCGGUGAUCUAGCCAUGGGCAGGUUGAAGGUUGGGUAACACUAACUGGAGGACCGAACCGACUAAUGUUGAAAAAUUAGCGGAUGACUUGUGGCUGGGGGUGAAAGGCCAAUCAAACCGGGAGAUAGCUGGUUCUCCCCGAAAGCUAUUUAGGUAGCGCCUCGUGAAUUCAUCUCCGGGGGUAGAGCACUGUUUCGGCAAGGGGGUCAUCCCGACUUACCAACCCGAUGCAAACUGCGAAUACCGGAGAAUGUUAUCACGGGAGACACACGGCGGGUGCUAACGUCCGUCGUGAAGAGGGAAACAACCCAGACCGCCAGCUAAGGUCCCAAAGUCAUGGUUAAGUGGGAAACGAUGUGGGAAGGCCCAGACAGCCAGGAUGUUGGCUUAGAAGCAGCCAUCAUUUAAAGAAAGCGUAAUAGCUCACUGGUCGAGUCGGCCUGCGCGGAAGAUGUAACGGGGCUAAACCAUGCACCGAAGCUGCGGCAGCGACGCUGAUGCGUUGUUGGGUAGGGGAGCGUUCUGUAAGCCUGCGAAGGUGUGCUGUGAGGCAUGCUGGAGGUAUCAGAAGUGCGAAUGCUGACAUAAGUAACGAUAAAGCGGGUGAAAAGCCCGCUCGCCGGAAGACCAAGGGUUCCUGUCCAACGUUAAUCGGGGCAGGGUGAGUCGACCCCUAAGGCGAGGCCGAAAGGCGUAGUCGAUGGGAAACAGGUUAAUAUUCCUGUACUUGGUGUUACUGCGAAGGGGGGACGGAGAAGGCUAUGUUGGCCGGGCGACGGUUGUCCCGGUUUAAGCGUGUAGGCUGGUUUUCCAGGCAAAUCCGGAAAAUCAAGGCUGAGGCGUGAUGACGAGGCACUACGGUGCUGAAGCAACAAAUGCCCUGCUUCCAGGAAAAGCCUCUAAGCAUCAGGUAACAUCAAAUCGUACCCCAAACCGACACAGGUGGUCAGGUAGAGAAUACCAAGGCGCUUGAGAGAACUCGGGUGAAGGAACUAGGCAAAAUGGUGCCGUAACUUCGGGAGAAGGCACGCUGAUAUGUAGGUGAAGUCCCUUGCGGAUGGAGCUGAAAUCAGUCGAAGAUACCAGCUGGCUGCAACUGUUUAUUAAAAACACAGCACUGUGCAAACACGAAAGUGGACGUAUACGGUGUGACGCCUGCCCGGUGCCGGAAGGUUAAUUGAUGGGGUUAGCCGCAAGGCGAAGCUCUUGAUCGAAGCCCCGGUAAACGGCGGCCGUAACUAUAACGGUCCUAAGGUAGCGAAAUUCCUUGUCGGGUAAGUUCCGACCUGCACGAAUGGCGUAAUGAUGGCCAGGCUGUCUCCACCCGAGACUCAGUGAAAUUGAACUCGCUGUGAAGAUGCAGUGUACCCGCGGCAAGACGGAAAGACCCCGUGAACCUUUACUAUAGCUUGACACUGAACAUUGAGCCUUGAUGUGUAGGAUAGGUGGGAGGCUUUGAAGUGUGGACGCCAGUCUGCAUGGAGCCGACCUUGAAAUACCACCCUUUAAUGUUUGAUGUUCUAACGUUGACCCGUAAUCCGGGUUGCGGACAGUGUCUGGUGGGUAGUUUGACUGGGGCGGUCUCCUCCUAAAGAGUAACGGAGGAGCACGAAGGUUGGCUAAUCCUGGUCGGACAUCAGGAGGUUAGUGCAAUGGCAUAAGCCAGCUUGACUGCGAGCGUGACGGCGCGAGCAGGUGCGAAAGCAGGUCAUAGUGAUCCGGUGGUUCUGAAUGGAAGGGCCAUCGCUCAACGGAUAAAAGGUACUCCGGGGAUAACAGGCUGAUACCGCCCAAGAGUUCAUAUCGACGGCGGUGUUUGGCACCUCGAUGUCGGCUCAUCACAUCCUGGGGCUGAAGUAGGUCCCAAGGGUAUGGCUGUUCGCCAUUUAAAGUGGUACGCGAGCUGGGUUUAGAACGUCGUGAGACAGUUCGGUCCCUAUCUGCCGUGGGCGCUGGAGAACUGAGGGGGGCUGCUCCUAGUACGAGAGGACCGGAGUGGACGCAUCACUGGUGUUCGGGUUGUCAUGCCAAUGGCACUGCCCGGUAGCUAAAUGCGGAAGAGAUAAGUGCUGAAAGCAUCUAAGCACGAAACUUGCC
rnacentral:rRNA from 1 species